UUGCAAGAUUAUAGAAGUCAUUUUAUACGUGAAUAUAUCUCUAGAAGUAUAUUAUAUAACAUGAAUGUCCACUAAAACAUUUUAAUGAAUAUUUUGGUGAUCAGAAUAGUGAAGUGGUAUAUUCUGGGUGUUUAUAUCUAGUUUCAUACCUUCUCCAGACUCUCUUCAAGGAAGCCUGUUCUUUUCAGAAGCAUCGUUUGCAUGGACUCUUUAAUAGAUGAGAAUGAUGAUUUUUUUUUUAAUAUGGUACUAGCCUGCAGUUUAGGCUGGGAUCAGCUAUACCCACGUAGUGCAUCUGGCUCACUCGUGUUUGCAGCUG
rnacentral:lncRNA from 1 species